UCCCCCGACCCCGACGCGCCCUCUCUCCCACAUGCGACUCCUCUCCCCUCCCUGUCCCAUCGCAGUGGCUGUCGGUUCCUCCUCUCCCCUCCCCUCUGACUCCUCCUCUCCCCUCCCUACCCCAUCGCAAUGGCUGCCGGCUGGCUCGCCGAUGGGGGCGACGGCUAAGGACGCGGUGAUCGGGUGGUUCCAUGGCGAGUUCACGGCCGCCAACGGGAUGAUCGACGUGCAGAUCGGUGGCGGCAGGGCCGAGUACAAUCCACGCUCCAGCGCCGUCAUGUUAACUGGUUCCCCGUCCUCCACAUGCAGAAGUUCUACCCCCUCGCCGAUGUCACAUCCCUUGGAGCCGUCGUGGGGUGCUACUGCUACUUGGAGGAGGAAGCCGCUUCCACGGUGACACACGAGGCCACGGAAGACCUCCCCACUGAGGCUAUGCCCAAGGCCCUCUCCACGGAAGAUGACACAAUCACAGACAGGACAAGUACAAUCACUACUAACCCACAAAUUAAAUCCUCUCGUGCUCAAGGGAGAUUCUAUUGGAAUGGAUCACUCAUCCUAUGAUCAGGUACAAAGAUUCUUCACUUCAGCGCUAGCAAUAUGCCAUAAACACAUAAACACGUGUGUACAGAGAUUCUUCACUUCAGUGCUAGCCAUCAGAUGUUGUCAUAUAAGAAGGAUGGAGGUCUGUCAAAUAAGAAGAAGAAUCUGGAGCGCAGGGUGAAGAUUGCAGAGAUAUGGAUAGAGAAUUUGCAAACCUAUCUCUGAAACACAGCAAUCCCAGUUCAGGGCACGAAGCUCCUUUAUGUGAACAGGAAUUUCAUCCCAUAGUAGAAAAAAGAUGGAAAGGUUACUAACAGGGAAUUUCAUCCCAUAGUUCUUUCAGAAUGUCCACUUCUGUCUAUUGUUUGAGAAAUGACCCAUCAGUAAAUUUGUGUUUCCUUCAUGAGUUAA